UACGGGGGGGGCAAGCGUUGUUCGGAAUUACUGGGCGUAAAGGGCUCGUAGGUGGCCAACUAAGUCAGACGUGAAAUCCCUCAGCUUAACUGGGGAACUGCGUCUGAUACUGGAUGGCUUGAGUUUGGGAGAGGGAUGCGGAAUUCCAGGUGUAGCGGUGGAAUGCGUAGAGAUCGGGAAGAACAUCAGUGGCGAAGGCGGUCUGCUGGGCCGUUGCUGACGCUGAGGCGCGACAGCGUGGGGAGCAAACAGG
rnacentral:rRNA from 1 species